rnacentral:rRNA from 1 species
GACGUAGGAUGCGAGCGUUGUCCGGAUUUAUUGGGCGUAAAGAGUUCGUAGGUGGUUCAUUAAGUUUGGUGUUAAAGACCGGGGCUCAACCUCGGGACCGCACUGGAUACUGGUGGACUAGAGUGCAGUAGAGGCAAGCGGAAUUCCAGGUGUAGCGGUGAAAUGCGUAGAUAUCUGGAAGAACACCGGUGGCGCAAGCGGCUUGC